rnacentral:rRNA from 1 species
CUACGGGCUGCUCCAGUGGGGAAUAUUGCACAAUGGGCGCAAGCCUGAUGCAGCAACGCCGCGUGAACGAAGAAGGUCUUCGGAUCGUAAAGUUCUUUUCUUAGGGAAGAAAAAUGACGGUACCUAAGGAAUAAGCACCGGCUAAAUACGUGCCAGCAGCCGCGGUAAUACGUAUGGUGCAAGCGUUAUCCGGAAUCACUGGGCGUAAAGGGAGCGUAGGCGGUUUUGCAAGUCAGAAGUGAAAGGCUACGGCUCAACCGUGGUAAGCUUUUGAAACUGCAAGACUAGAGUGCAGGAGAGGCAAGUGGAAUUCCUAGUGUAGAGGUGAAAUUCGUAGAUAUUAGGAGGAACACCAGUGGCGAAGGCGACUUGCUGGACUGUAACUGACGCUGAGGCUCGAAAGCGUGGGGAGCGAACAGGAUUAGAUACCCCCGUAGUC